rnacentral:rRNA from 1 species
UCUCAUUCGGAUCGGAGUCUGCAACCCGACUCCGUGAAGCUGGAUUCGCUAGUAAUCGCGCAUCAGCCAUGGCGCGGUGAAUACGUUCCCGGGCCUUGUACACACCGCCCGUCAAGCCAUGGAAGCCGGGAGUGCCUGAAGUAUGCAACCGCAAGGAGCGUCCUAAGGUAAAACCGGUGACUGGGGCUAAGUCGUAACAAGGUAUC